GGUGGGGGGAGGGAGGGGCUGGUCUCCAGAUGCCUGGAAGAGAGGCCUUGAAAGUCAUUCUUCUUGGAUGCAGAGGCCCAUGGCAUUUCUUGGUAGAAGGUCAAAGAGAAGUGUUCAUGCUUGGCAAGGCAGGAGGGUGGGAGAUAGGGCAGCGGGUGGGGAAGCAGAGUCUGGCUCACUGUGUGCCAGGAAAAGGAGGUAAAGGCCGGGCAGGAACCCCUGGCUCCUGACCAGGAAUGGCCAUGGUAAGAGUCCUGCAAAACCGAAAUCAGAUCUUACACCGGCAGCACACAGGGACACAGCAGCUGGACUGGGAGCAGCAGCGCUUGCAGCAGCUGGACUGGCAGCAGGAUGACCCACAGCCUCCCUUAGAACCCCCACAAGAACCACAGCUGGAGCAGGAAUAGGCUGGGACACAACAACACACAGGCUUGCAGCAGCAGACAGGCACACAACAGCUGGAGCCACAGCCCCCACAGCCGGAGCCACAGCCCCCACAGCCGGAGCCGCAGCCUCCAGAGCAGCCACAACAGCCCAUGGUUCUGGUGGACUGAGGGUGGAGCAGGCAGAGGAGCAGAUGGAGACAACAGGAAGGAAGGAAGGAGGCCUUCCUGGUUACAGGUGGCCACAGGAGAAUAGGCAGCGGCCCAGGACGAUCCAGGGUCCCAGUGGUGGUUGAGAAGCUGGUUUUUAGUGAUCACUCAGGAACAUCGACCUGGCCUUGUGGGGUCAGACUUUGCAUCUCAGUCAUCCCAGGGAGAAGAAGAAGAUGGUCCACACCCAAGUGCAGGGAACGCCGUGGCAGUCGGCCGGGCACCCGCUUCCAGGCAAGGACACCUUCUGCAUCAAGGAAACACGUGUUUCCAGAGUGAGGAGGCUGAAGGCAGGGCCCAGAGGAGAGCCGAGCUAUGGAAGGAGGAGAAACCUGAAGAUCUGGGUCCAGAGCCUCAGAUCUUGCACUGGCAGCACACGGGGACACAGCAGGUGGACUGGCAGCAGCAGGGUUUGCAGCAGCUGGACUGGCAGCAGGAUGACCCACAACCUGAAGAGCAAGAGCAGGGCUUGCAGCAACUGCACUGGGAGCAGCCACAAGAACCACAGCCCCCCUUGGAGCCCCCACAGGAGCCACAGCUGGAGCAGGAACAGGACUGGGUCAAUGUUGCGGAUUUCCCACGUUCAACGCUGUGAGACACCUUCCCCCCUCCAGAGCAGUGCCGCUCUCUACCUGAUUCCUGCUGAUGCCCCCAGGGAUGUGGUAUCUUCUUUGUGGCAACUGUGGCUGAGGAUGGCAGGAUUCUCAGCAUUGGGGAAGGAAUGCAUCCUCUGUUUACCUCCUCCGUAUUCCUGGACGAGUCCCUGUGGGCAGGGCAAUGGGCUUUGUGAUUACAGAAGGGAAGUUCACACAGCAUGGUCCUUGGGGACGUGUGAGAAGAGCUUCCCACUGCUUUGGAACUGUUGUGUGGACAGGUUCUUCUCUUGGAGGAAAACAAAGCUUGGAGCAGAACUUGAGGGGUGGGGGAGGACCGUGAUGGGUACAAAGAGCAACCAAGGGACAGGAAGGAUACUCCAGCCAGGAGGCAGGGCACUAGCGACGGUGUGGAGGCUGCAGGUGCAGGAACCUGUCAGUAUGGUCCACACUCAGAUGCAGCUCAAAUGUGUGAAGAGUGGAUGUGCAGGCUUACAACCUUCCAGUGUGCCUCAGCCGACACGGGGUGAAACCCAAACCCCUGACACUGGCCCAUGCACCUCUCCAGCUGGAUUUGACCACGGCCUUGGCCACCCAUCGUUCCAGAACCAAUCAGCCCAAAGCUCAGUGGAUCAGGAGUUCAGAUCUGGCCCUGGAUGGUGGAACAGGCUGCAUGAUGCGUGGGGUCUCAGCUGGGAAGGUACCAAUGGCUAA
ensembl:lincRNA